GAAGGGGGCUAGCGUUGUUCGGAUUUACUGGGCGUAAAGCGCACGUAGGCGGAUCGUUAAGUCGGGGGUGAGAUCCUGGAGCUCAACUCCAGAACUGCCUUCGAUACUGGCGAUCUUGAGUCCGGAAGAGGUGAGUGGAACUCCUAGUGUAGAGGUGGAAUUCGUAGAUAUUAGGAAGAACACCAGUGGCGAAGGCGGCUCACUGGUCCGGUACUGACGCUGAGGUGCGAAGGCGUGGGGAGCAAACAGGAUUAGAUACCCUGGUAGUCCACGCCGUAAACUAUGAGAGCUAGCCGUUGGAGGGUUUACCCUUCAGUGGCGCASSUAACGCAUUAAGCUCUCCGCCUGGGGAGUACGGUCGCAAGAUUA
rnacentral:rRNA from 1 species